CAGGAUUCUCUCAGUAACGGCGAGUGAACAGAGAUUAGCCCAGCACCGAAGCCUAUUCGCGUUUGUGAACAAGGCAAUGUGGUGUUCAGGCGUUUGUCUGAGUCCGUCGGUUCAUUCUAAGUCCAGCAUAGAUUAUGGCUCUGGAUGUUGCCCAUAGCGGGUGAAAGGCCCGUAAGAAUGAAUCUUCAAGCAUGUUGACGGUCUCAGUUGCAUUCGCUUUGGAGUCGGAUAGUUUGAGAAUGCUGUCCAAAGUGGGUGGUAAACUCCAUCCAAGGCUAAAUACCUGCACGAAUCCGAUAGUAGACAAGUACCGUGAGGGAAAGUUGAAAAGUACUCUGAAGAGAGAGUAAAUAGUACGUGAAGCCGCAUGCAUGGAAGCUGGUGGAGUCAAGCUGCAUGCUCUUGGUAAUCAAUCAGUGAUUGUUGUGUGUAUUAUCCGGAUGGGUGGCUGGUUGCCUUGUAAAUUAGGCUGACGGAUUUAUCCGUUCCGCGAGCGUACUGGUUAGUGCGUGUGGGCUGGUCACUUUAAUCUUGGUGUCACUGGUGUUCUUACCUUGUAGCAGACAUCACGAUCGGUAUUGCUGUUGGCGUAUGGUAGGCAAACCAUCAGGUUAUGGGUCUCGAAUUCAUGCCUGGUGGGACGGCAGGUUGCCUGUUUAUUCACCUCGUGUGGGUAUAUGGGUUUUUCUUGGUUGCGGCCAGCCGUCUACCAUUUGAAGCAUUCUGCCAUACAGUAUACCGUUAAUUAUGUUGUGCCGGUCUUUUGCGGUCUGAACUCUGGCUGAUACGGUCCUGUUUCUGCAUUAGUGGUGCGGGGCUGUUGUCGGCUUGUGGCUCGGGCUUGCGAUUGGCUGGUACGUGAAUCG
rnacentral:rRNA from 1 species